UCGAAGUAUACCAGGAUCCAAGGAGGUCUAAAAUCGACCCGUUAAAAAUUCGUAUCCAGUCGGGUCAGAAUUGAUCUCUGAGAUAUUAUCAUAAUCCCUCUGGUGAGAGAGAGAUUUGUAAGGUCCCCUCAAAUUCAUCCAUCCAUCCAUGGUCGAUUGGGCAACACUCCCGAAGGAUCUCCUAAACCUAAUCUCCAAAUCCCUCGAUUCCUCCUUCGAUCUCCUCCACUUCCGCUCCGUCUGCUCCUCAUGGCGCUCCUCCGCCGACCCCAAGCCUCCUCUCCCGACUCACCACCUCCCGAUCCUCCCCGAUAACGGCACAAGCCUCUUCCCUGACUCCGCCGUGGGGUUCCGCCUCUCGCAGCGUAGCAUCCUCCUCGUCAAACCUCACAAACCGCCGAUCAGCGAGUCCGAUCUGUUCGGAUGGCUCGUCAAGGUCGAGGAAGACCUCAACGCCCCUCGUAAGGUGACGACGCUUCUCGAUCCGAUGAGCGAGACGAGACGCGCUCUCCCUGAGCAUUUCCCUCGAUCUCUCGAUGUGUCCAGUUUCAAGAUUCGAGAGCUAGGCCGCGAGUUCAAGCUUCAUUACUUCAACACAGUGGGUGAUAUCGUCAACAGUUUGUACUUGGAGAAGGCCGUUGUUAGGUACUUAGAUAGUUGCAGCAAGUUCGUGUUGCUUACGAUUCAUGUUUCCGGGAAGUUAGCUGUGUUCACCUCGUGGGAUCGGGCUUGGACUGUGAUCAACGACAUGCCUUCUCCUUACGAUGAUGUGAUUGUGUUUAACGGACGUUUCUUCGGUGUUGACAACAAUGGGAGGACUGUGGUUGUGGAUUUUGAAUCUUUGAAGCUUGAGUUGGUUGCGAGUCCUGUGUAUGGCGGCGACAAGAAGUUCUUGAUUGAGUCGUGUGGCGAGAUGUUGAUGGUGGAUAUGUAUUUGAGCAUGGAGGAGGUGGAUGGGGAUCCUGGGUUCGGCGAGGAGGUUUUUGAGCAUCAUGCGGUUUUUAUGAAUGAGAGGACGGUGAAGUUUAAGGUUUUUAAGUUUUUGGAAAGGGAGAAGAGUUGGGUUGAGGUUAAGGAUCUUGGGGGUAAGAUGUUGUUCCUUGGGGAUGACUGUAACUUCACCGCGUCAGCUUCUGAUUUGUUGCCUUCAUGUGGUGGGAGUUGUGUGUUCUUUACCGGCAAUGUCUUCAACGAGGAUAAUGUGGAUGCAAUGCAGGAUCGAGAUUUGGGAGUGUUUGAUUUCAGGAGUGGGAAGAUAGAGCUUGUGCAUAAACUCCCUGAGUAUGCUAAGCUGUUCUGGCCUCCACCUCCUUGGAUUACUUCUCAUGUGGUCAGUGGAACAUUUGAAAUACUGUUUGUCUCUAGGAUCCUUUGCUUUUAGUUAGUUAGUUAGUUGUGUAUUGUAGCUACGGAGACUCUAUGGCAUUAUCCUCUAUCUCCGUCCUUCCUUUUUUGAGUUAGUUAGUAGUCUCUGAACAUACAUUUUUUUUAUCUCUACUAUCAUGAUGCUCUCAUUUCCCAUUAGUCUCGCUAAAUGUCUGCUCAUUGCUAAUAUGUGAAACCCUUUACUGUCUCAGCGCGCUGAAGAUCAUCCGGGAGAAACAUCAUCAAAAUGUUAAAUGUGUAAUUUGGAGUUUACGGCCUUGGAGAUUCAACAGAUACGGAGGUUAAUUAUCUCUCUCUGAUAUUUGUGAGAUUAAGAACCAAUAGAGGCAGGCUCUUACUUAUAUCACAUGUUUAUGUCUGUUCUUUUACGUUUACCCACCCUUUCCAUGUUUUCAGUAACUUUGCAUUUGUACAUAGAUAAACUCUCUCUUUGUUUUUUUUUUCUCAAAGAUGAUGGAUGAUAUUUGUUGAAGAACCAAACCCA